AUUGAACGCUGGCGGAAUGCUUUACACAUGCAAGUCGAGCGGCAGCGCGGGGCAACCUGGCGGCGAGCGGCGAACGGGUGAGUAAUGCAUCGGAACGUACCCAUUUGUGGGGGAUAACUAUCCGAAAGGAUAGCUAAUACCGCAUAAGUCCUGAGGGAGAAAGCAGGGGAUCGCAAGACCUUGCGCGAAUGGAGCGGCCGAUGCCGGAUUAGCUAGUUGGUAGGGUAAAGGCCUACCAAGGCGACGAUCCGUAGCGGGUCUGAGAGGAUGAUCCGCCACACUGGAACUGAGACACGGUCCAGACUCCUACGGGAGGCAGCAGUGGGGAAUUUUGGACAAUGGGCGCAAGCCUGAUCCAGCCAUUCCGCGUGAGUGAAGAAGGCCUUCGGGUUGUAAAGCUCUUUCGGCAGGAACGAAACGGUGGGGGCUAAUAUCCCUUGCUAAUGACGGUACCUGAAGAAGAAGCACCGGCUAACUACGUGCCAGCAGCCGCGGUAAUACGUAGGGUGCGAGCGUUAAUCGGAAUUACUGGGCGUAAAGCGUGCGCAGGCGGUUAUGUAAGACAGAUGUGAAAUCCCCGGGCUUAACCUGGGAACUGCGUUUGUGACUGCAUAACUCGAGUGUGGCAGAGGGGGGUGGAAUUCCACGUGUAGCAGUGAAAUGCGUAGAGAUGUGGAGGAACACCGAUGGCGAAGGCAGCCCCCUGGGUCAACACUGACGCUCAUGCACGAAAGCGNNNNUAGCAAACAGGAUUAGAUACCCUGGUAGUCCACGCCCUAAACGAUGCGAACUAGGUGUUGGAGAAGGAGACUUCUUUAGUACCGCAGCUAACGCGUGAAGUUCGCCGCCUGGGGAGUACGGUCGCAAGAUUAAAACUCAAAGGAAUUGACGGGGACCCGCACAAGCGGUGGAUGAUGUGGAUUAAUUCGAUGCAACGCGAAAAACCUUACCUACCCUUGACAUGCCAGGAAUCCUGCAGAGAUGUGGGAGUGCUCGAAAGAGAGCCUGGACACAGGUGCUGCAUGGCUGUCGUCAGCUCGUGUCGUGAGAUGUUGGGUUAAGUCCCGCAACGAGCGCAACCCUUGUCAUUAGUUGCCAUCAUUCAGUUGGGCACUCUAAUGAGACUGCCGGUGACAAACCGGAGGAAGGUGGGGAUGACGUCAAGUCCUCAUGGCCCUUAUGGGUAGGGCUUCACACGUCAUACAAUGGUCGGUACAGAGGGUUGCCAACCCGCGAGGGGGAGCCAAUCCCAAAAAGCCGAUCGUAGUCCGGAUCGGAGUCUGCAACUCGACUCCGUGAAGUCGGAAUCGCUAGUAAUCGUGGAUCAGCAUGUCACGGUGAAUACGUUCCCGGGUCU
rnacentral:rRNA from 1 species